rnacentral:rRNA from 1 species
GGGUGAGUAACGCGUGGAUAAUCUGCCCUACACAGGGGGAUAACAUCCGGAAACGGCUGCUAAUACCGCAUAGACUGAGCUCUCGCAUGAGAGAACAGGGAAAGAUUUAUCGGUGUAGGAUGAAUCCGCGUCCGAUUAGCUAGUUGGAGGGGUAACGGCCCACCAAGGCGACGAUCGGUAGCCGACCUGAGAGGGCGACCGGCCACAUUGGGACUGAGACACGGCCCAGACUCCUGCGGGAGGCAGCAGUGGGGAAUAUUGCACAAUGGGGGGAACCCUGAUGCAGCGACGCCGCGUGAGUGAAGAAGUAUUUCGGUAUGUAAAGCUCUAUCAGCAGGGACGAAGAUGACGGUACCUGCAGAAGAAGCCCCGGCUAACUACGUGCCAGCAGCCGCGGUAAUACGUAGGGGGCAAGCGUUAUCCGGAUUUACUGGGUGUAAAGGGAGCGUAGACGGCAGGGCAAGCCAGAAGUGAAAACGCAGAGCUUAACUUUGCGACUGCUUUUGGAACUGCCCAGCUAGAGUACAGGAGAGGUAAGUGGAAUUCCUAGUGUAGCGGUGAAAUGCGUAGAUAUUAGGAGGAACACCAGUGGCGAAGGCGGCUUACUGGACUGAGACUGACGUUGAGGCUCGAAAGCGUGGGGAGCAAACAGGAUUAGAUACCCUGGUAGUCCACGCUGUAA